ACAAAGUGCCUGACACGUACAGAGAGAACCAAAGGAUGAAGCCUCCAUGGCCCCAAACAGGAAGCAAAUUAGGGCCUUUUGGGCACAUCUUGAGUCUCUAAGAAGGGAGUCUACAUCUCUCACUGGCAUUUAAUGAGGAAACUUCCAGUGAGCAACUCUUGGGAAUCAUGUUUUGUGGAAACCACCCCAACUCAAUGGAAACAACAUGUAAAGUUCUUGAGAACCACUGUGCCCGGAACAAUGUCUGGUACAUCAAAAGUUCUUAACAAACUUCCCUCGGAAACAAAGAAAUCAACGAAGUCAAGAGUCUGAGCAGUGAUUGACGAAUGAAUUAUCAAAGCUCCCCACAAAUUUAACCGAGUCUCUUUAAAUGUAACUCAUUUUGGAAAGGGGAUGCUGUAGUUUACAGCAGGAGCUGUCAAGGCACAGAACUCAGGAUCCCCGGGGGAUGCAAAGGCCAGGGACCCGCCAUCCAGGACUCCACAGAGUCUUGCUCCGGGUGCCUCUGCGGUCCACACAGGCAACUUCGCCUAGGGCCCUCCUCCCAGGCCUCCCCUAGGAGACAGAGGGAUCCCCCAGAGCCCACGGCCAUAGCAAGAGAAUCCACAGACUGCCUGGGGCCAGCAGGUACCUGGUCAUAAGGGGACUUCUCCAGCAUCUGCGUGCAUAGAUCGGCGCAGAGCUGGAACUUCCUGCGUCUAAAAUAGCUCCAGGCCCGGAGCAGAGGCUCCAUCUCCGAGCCCAUGGUGGCCCGGGACAAAGCUCCAGCGACCCGGGGUCCAGGGCCCAGAGCCCAGCCCAGGGAGGGCGGGGUGCGGGAGCAGCGAGCCGGAAGCGUCGGGUUCUGCCAGGCAACGCGCAGCGGCGGGGCCUGGCCUAAGAGGUGUCCACAGCGCGCCUGAAAACAGGGCAAAGAAAAGCUGCCGUGCGCCGACCUCAGCCAGAGAGUUUGCACAGAAUUGACUACAAAAAUGUGCGCUUUUAAAGACAACAGAUUUCAUCAAUUUUGAAAAGCCACCGUUCUUAAAAAACAAACAACAACAACAAAAAAAAACCAGGAGUGACUUAGACACCGUGGCUGGGGGCCUCCGUGCGUACACGAGAUGCAGUUGCCUAGCAACCACCUCGCUGCUUGCCCAGUAAGCGCAAAAAGCCACCUAAAUUGACUCGGGUUGUGUCCCUGUCCCAGUCCCCGCUUUCACUCAUUCCUACUGCUCUCAUAUUUCUGACUGUAGAAACAUUAAUGCGGGAACAGCUUCUCCUC